GAUUUCCGCAGUGACCUGAUGACGCGCCGCACACUUCCGCUGGAUACGAUGCCGCAUACAAUGUGACUUUGGCGCGGGGAGGGGGGAGAGCCGCAGCCGGGGAGAUGAGUGACCGGCCGCAGUCGUCUCCCCGGGGAGGGCUGCCCAGAUAGAGGACCUGACAGUGUACAUGGCGGCGGGCGGUGUGUAGCCCCCUCCCGCCGGGCAGUACCGCAAUGUCGCAGGGAACAUGGCUGCUCGGACCAGGGUCACAGCGCAGGGUGAGCGCAGUUACCGCAGCCUCCCUGAUGUGCACACAGCGGGGUGAGGAGGACGCGGCUCCGUCCCGGGAGUGAACAGCAGCCUAUGGAGCAGAACUGGAGAGGCCGGGGUUAUAACCGCACCGAAUCCUGGACAUGGCGGAAGACUGCGGCAGCUCCGCGUUAUCCCCGUCCAUUACCCUCACAGGCGGCUCCAGGUUUUCCUGGCAAGAGCCAAACAACAAAGCUGGACAUUCCUUUGGGAAUGCAAAAGUGGCACCUUUAUGAGCGAUGAAACAGAGUAAAAUGUCUUCAGAGUCUUGGGAGAUGUAUCCUGAGGGUCCUCUUAUCAUGGAACACAACGUGGUGACCUUUUACAUCCAUUUGAUGAAGAGCUUUCACAUAGCUAAUUGCUCGGGCAUCGUAAGGCAGUAUGCUCCCGAUAUGUCUCUACCAUGUAGGCUUCUAUAACUGGGCCAGGGGUCUUCAUUCCUCCGAGAGUCUUCAGAUGGGUAACACAUGGCUUUAUAAGACUGCUGAUGGACAGAAUCCUUGUACCUUAGGCCUUGGAUAGACCUCGACUCUGGAGAUGGAAUGAUGCAUUGUGAUAUAGCAAUUUGUCUACAGCUCUAGGAUCAUCUGACCACGCUGAGGACCUGUAGCCGGGGUAAUAAUCGGACUCUUCAGAUGGAUCUGAUGUGUUUACAUGGUCCACUUUCCAUGUGGAUGGGACGGAUGCAUCCCGAGCUGUAACAUAGAAGACCAAAGUUGAAUGACUGGGUGUCUAUUUUUUAACAUGGGACAUCUCUUGCGUCUCACUGUCACGUAGGCUCUUCAGUUGUAUAGCAAUGUUAAUCUUUCACGGCCUUCUCACUUCAUUUCUUUCUGUAGCAAUUAACAAAUAGUAAUGAAUUUGCAGAAAAAUGCAAAACUUUUACACGUAGAGGCAAAGCAAGUCCGUCAUUUACCUCAAACUUGGUGCCAGGUAAACCAAGCCGGUGGCCGAUAGGCAUACGCCGAGCGAUGUCGUGCGUAGGUUUGCAAUAAAUGCAAUAAUGUUGAUUUCACUUAAUUCUCAGGUUUUCCACCAGGUUUUGGUUGUUUGUUUUGAUUUUUUUUAAUAAUACACAUUGACUGGUGGAGUCUGACCCUUUACUGUUCAGAAAAUGAGUAGUCCUAAUGAUUAGCUUGUAGGACAUUUCUUAGGGUGAGAUGAAAAAAAUAUUUCAGUUCUUCAAAUUACUUCUCCAUCUGUAGUUGAGAAGGAGGGGAUAUGACUUGCCGUAGACUAGCGACCUGUAUAACUAAGGAAUUCUUUUCCAUGAGAUACGGUAAUUCUGAUGUUUUCUACCAGAGGAUGUCCUCUAUACUGGCCCAUAAUGAUGAGAGAUGGGUGGGAUUGUUCUGAUACCCCUGUACAACAGCGACAAUAUAAUAAAGUGUAAGACUAGUUAUUUUAAAUUUGGCCAGGUCCUUCAGUCCUCCUGCUAAUUCCAUGGCUGGCCAUUACAUUCACCUUAUAACCUAAAAGAUGCAAGAACUCUAGUUUUAAUGUCGAUGGAAAUGUUCUUCAUCUUGCCAAUGACGUUCUUCACAACCCUUAAACUGGUGAAGACGGCUGUCCCAUUCAUACAGUCUUCAGUAGUGCACCAGGUCCAUAUACAUAUGAGCUGCUACGCCAAAACAUCAAUUUGAAGGGGUUGUCUGAGUUUGAAAACACAUUUUUGAAAACUAAGAGAGGGUAUGGGAGUCUUGAAGAACAAAUUCAUAGAACAACUCUCUGGAGGAACCAGCAUAUCUGAACGUUGCUGAGACAGGCCAUUAUUAUUUAUAUAUUUUUUUUCACGGGAACCGUGUAAUGCUUCAUUUAUCCUGUAGAGGCGCUGCAGGGAAGUCAUACAUUUGCCACCGCUCGGCUGAUCAUUGGUCGUCUCGGCAAAAGGACGCCCCCUGAUCAGCCUAUCAUUGUCUAAAAAGCCCUACAAGUAUAAAUAUGGCUGGCGACGACCCUGUUUCUUCUAUAUUUUGCACACUUUUGUUUUUUUUUCUGCUUUGUCAUUCCUGUACUAGUAACAAGUUGUAAUGAAAUAAUGGGACAAGUGCAAUAUUAGUGUAUGUAUUAUAUAUUUUACUACUUGUGGACAAAAUGAUGUUGUCUGAGAACAACAAAAUCACCAAUGUCUUCCAUUUUUUGAUAUGUGUAUAGUUCCAUACGUAGCUAAUUGUAGUGCCGCUGUAGGGCCAGUGCAUGAUAUAUUGAUGUCUAUGUAUCUGAAGUAUAUAUGUAUAACCUGAAACUAAAGGCGCAGAAGUCCAUUUAUAGCAUGCUUAUUGGUUUCUCUCCACUAGAAGUAGGUCAGAUCUGGCUCCUGGUGGUGUGUCUUCAAGCCAUGUUCUGGCGUCCCCUUUCCAUAAUUGGGUCGAGGAUUUUGGUCAUGCAAUUGAAAUUUCAUAUUGUUUGAAAACUGCAGGUCCCUUUUUAGUGUGUUCAGCAUGCAUUUGUAUGCUCCGUUGCCUGGCAGCCCCAAGACUUCCUGUCUGGGUGACCACCUUUUUCUUCCACACACUGUAGCGGUUGUAGGUAGUUCUGUUUGCCAUAACCAUACGGUGCAGCCAACGUGAAGAGACGCAACAGGAAAUCAAGACUAAGAUCUAUGUUGUUCUUUCUUGUAUGAUAUAUGUGCCAUCUAUUUUACGGAACGGGCGGAAUUGGGGAGUCGAUAUGUGGCGGGCAGAGGUACACUUUUUAAUACUGUCUUGUAAAAUAAUUGUGUUUUUAACUGAAUAAGAGUGUUCAUCCCCGGGUAACUUUUCUUCUUGGGAGAAAUGGAAAGAAAGGGGUUUCAUUUAAGCGUUAGAUGAUGGCUAGAAAUAAUUUGUGGGGCCAAGCACAAGCAGGCUUUACAUAGACGGUUCAUCGAUUUAGUGGGCUUCGUGUAAUGCUUCUUUUCUCCUUCGGUGGCGCUGUAGGGAAAUUUAGCAGUUUUGUUAAAUUGCCAAGUUCAACAAUGGAGCAGCUUUUGAUGAGCUUAUUAUCAGGCGAUCCUUCUAUUGACCUGGGAUUGUCCUAAGCAGUUGCACUAAGUUGUAUUUUUGGCAUGUGAUAUUAGGUAGGUGAACAUACUGUUUAGUAUCACUACCUAUUGGCUAUUAGAAGUCAAGAAAUUGAGAAACGUGAUUUAGAUCAGACUAUGCAUACGUGAGGGCUCCCUGUUGAUCCUAGACCUUAUUGCUGUCCAACUGAAUGAAGACGCUAGCUUGGUUGACUGAAUUUCUAAAUCAGAUUUGGAUGAUUAUUCAAACCAUAAGGCUCCAAAUUAUGCUGCAUGAACUGUAGAGGUGGUCCUGGCAAGUACUGACUAGGGGGACUGGCUCUUGGAUGCAUAUACUGUACAUUGGAGAGGUAGUGACUGGCUCUUGGAUGCUUCUACUGUACAUUGGAGAGGUGGUCCUCCCAGGUAGUGACUUGCUCUUGGAUGCUUCUACUGUACAUUGGAGAGGUAGUGACUGGCUUUUGGAUGCUUCUACUGUACAUUGGAGAGGUGGUCCUCCCAGGUAGUGACUUGCUCUUUGAUGCUUCUACUGUACAUUGGAGAGGUGGUCCUCCCAGGUAGUGACUGGCUCUUGGAUGCUUCUACUGUACAUUGGAGAGGUGGUCCUCCCAGGUAGUGACUGGCUCUUGGAUGCUUCUACUGUACAUUGGAGAGGUGGUCCCCCCAGGUGGUGACUGGCUCUUGGAUGCUUCUACUGUACAUUGGAGAGGUGGUCCUCCCAGGUAGUGACUUGCUCUUGGAUGCUUCUACCGUACAUUGGAGAGGUGGUCCUCUCAGGUAGUGACUGGCUCUUCAAUGCUUCUAC